rnacentral:rRNA from 1 species
GUGGGGAAUAUUGGGCAAUGGGCGAAAGCCUGACCCAGCGACGCCGCGUGGGUGAUGAAGGCCUUCGGGUUGUAAAGCCCUGUCAUGCGGAAAGAACAGUCCUGUGGCUAAUAUCCACAGGAUUUGACGGUACCGCAGGAGGAAGCACCGGCUAACUCCGUGCCAGCAGCCGCGGUAAUACGGAGGGUGCAAGCGUUGUUCGGAAUUAUUGGGCGUAAAGGACGCGUAGGCGGUAAUGAAAGUCAGGUGUGAAAUACUUUGGCUCAACUGAAGAACUGCAUCUGAAACUUCAUAACUAGAGUACAGAAGAGGGAAACGGAAUUCCCGGUGUAGAGGUGAAAUUCGUAGAUAUCGGGAGGAACACCAGUGGCGGAGGCGGUUUCCUGGUCUGAUACUGACGCUGAGGCGUGAAAGUGUGGGGAGCAAACAGGAUUAGAUACCCGAGUAGUCC